rfam:Erinaceus europaeus unplaced genomic scaffold scaffold00135, whole genome shotgun sequence
AUACAGAAACAUCUGACCGUACUGCCCUGCCCAUGGUGCCCAGUGUGCAGUGGCUGCAAACAGCAGCCUCCUGGGUAGUGCAUGCAGCCUGUUACUUGUACAGGCUGCUCUAAGGGACCCCAAGACAGCC